rnacentral:rRNA from 1 species
ACGGAGGGUGCAAGCGUUAAUCGGAAUCACUGGGCGUAAAGCGCACGUAGGCUGUUAUGUAAGUCAGGGGUGAAAUCCCACGGCUCAACCGUGGAACUGCCCUUGAUACUGCACGACUUGAAUCCGGGAGAGGGUGGCGGAAUUCCAGGUGUAGGAGUGAAAUCCGUAGAUAUCUGGAGGAACAUCAGUAGCGAAGGCGGCCACCUGGACCGGUAUUGACGCUGAGGUGCGAAAGCGUGGGGAGCAAACAG